rnacentral:rRNA from 1 species
UCAGGACGAACGCUGGCGGCGUGCCUAACACAUGCAAGUCGAGCGAUGAAAUCCUUCGGGAUGGAUUAGCGGCGGACGGGUGAGUAACACGUGGGUAACCUGCCUUGUAGAGGGGGAUAGCCUUCCGAAAGGAAGAUUAAUACCGCAUAACAUCUUUUUAUCGCAUGGUAGAAAGAUCAAAGGAGUAAUCCGCUACAAGAUGGACCCGCGGCGCAUUAGCUAGUUGGUGAGGUAACGGCUCACCAAGGCGACGAUGCGUAGCCGACCUGAGAGGGUGAUCGGCCACAUUGGAACUGAGACACGGUCCAGACUCCUACGGGAGGCAGCAGUGGGGAAUAUUGCGCAAUGGGGGGAAACCCUGACGCAGCAACGCCGCGUGAAUGAAGAAGGCCUUAGGGUUGUAAAGUUCUGUUUACGGGGACGAUAAUGACGGUACCCGUGGAGGAAGCCACGGCUAACUACGUGCCAGCCGCCGC